GGAAAUGUGACUUAGUGGCAGAGUGCUUGCUUUGCAUGCAUGAAGCCCAGGUUCAAUUCCUUAGUACCA
rfam:Dipodomys ordii contig_63054, whole genome shotgun sequence.